GAUGAACGCUGGCGGCGUGCCUAAUACAUGCAAGUCGAGCGAACAGAUGAGGAGCUUGCUCCUCUGACGUUAGCGGCGGACGGGUGAGUAACACGUGGAUAACCUACCUAUAAGACUGGGAUAACUACGGGAAACCGGAGCUAAUACCGGAUAAUAUAUUGAACCGCAUGGUUCAAUAGUGAAAGCCGGUUUUGCUGUCACUUAUAGAUGUAUCCGCGCCGCAUUAGCUAGUUGGUAAGGUAACGGCUUACCAAGGCAACGAUGCGUAGCCGACCUGAGAGGGUGAUCGGCCACACUGGAACUGAGACACGGUCCAGACUCCUACGGGAGGCAGCAGUAGGGAAUCUUCCGCAAAGGGCGAAAGCCUGACGGAGCAACGCCGCGUGAGUGAUGAAGGUCUUCGGAUCGUAAAACUCUGUUAUUAGGGAAGAACAAAUGUGUAAGUAACUAUGCACGUCUUGACGGUACCUAAUCAGAAAGCCACGGCUAACUACGUG
rnacentral:rRNA from 1 species